rnacentral:rRNA from 1 species
UACGAAGGGGGGCUAGCGUUGCUCGGAAUCACUGGGCGUAAAGGGUGCGUAGGCGGGUCUUUAAGUCAGGGGUGAAAUCCUGGAGCUCAACUCCAGAACUGCCUUUGAUACUGAAGAUCUUUAGUUUCGGGAGAGGUGAGUGGAACUGGCGAGUGUAGAGGUGAAAUUCGUAGAGUAUUCGCAAGAACACCAGUGGCGAAAGGCGGCUCACUGGCCCGAGUACUGACGCUGAGG